AGAGAGAGACAUGCGUGCAUAUCAAUAAGCGGAGGAAAAGAAACUAACUAGGAUUCCCUCAGUAACGGCGAGUGAAGCGGGAAGAGCUCAAAUUUGAAAUCUUCAAGGUUCUACCUUGACGAAUUGUAGUUUAAAGAAGUGUUUUCUGUUGGAGUUUUGGUAAAAGUUCUUUGGAAUAGGACAUCAUAGAGGGUGAGAAUCCCGUAUUUGACCAUUAUUUCCAGCUUUGUGAUACACUUUCAAAGAGUCGGAUUGUUUGGGAAUGCAGUCCAAAAUGGGUGGUAAAUUUCAUCUAAAGCUAAAUACUGGCGAGAGACCGAUAGCGAACAAGUACCGUGAGGGAAAGAUGAAAAGAACUUUGAAAAGAGAGUUAAACAGUACGUGAAAUUGUCAAAGGGAAGCGUUUGACACCAGUGUUGUUUUCUCGAAAAUUAAUUAAAAAAGGCAGGAUUUUGUGUUGUAUUGACUUUAUCAGCUUUCUGCACUCUUUUCUUGUCUUUUUUAAUGCACUUUUCGUUUAACAAGUCAACAUCAAUUUCUUUUGUUGUAAAAGGGUCAUUGGAAGGUGGCUUUCUUUUCGGAGAAAGUGUUUAUAGCCUUUGGCCUCUGCAAUCGGAGAGAUUGAGGUCUGCAGCGUAGAUCCUUCGGGGAUUAGAUACAUUUGUGCUAAGUUAUAGCCUUUCAUAGACAACUUGUUGACUAUGAUCAGUCAUGUAGCUUACUCGCUUAUGCUAUUUUACCUACGCUUAGGAUGUUGAUGUGAUACUGCGAGCA
rnacentral:rRNA from 1 species